rnacentral:rRNA from 1 species
CACGAACGCUGGCGGCAGGCUUAACACAUGCAAGUCGAGCGCCCCGCAAGGGGAGCGGCAGACGGGUGAGUAACGCGUGGGAAUCUACCCAUCUCUACGGAAUAACGCAUGGAAACGUGUGCUAAUACCGUAUACGUCCUUCGGGAGAAAGAUUUAUCGGGGAUGGAUGAGCCCGCGUUGGAUUAGCUAGUUGGUGGGGUAAAGGCCUACCAAGACGACGAUCCAUAGCUGGUCUGAGAGGAUGAUCAGCCACACUGGGACUGAGACACGGCCCAGACUCCUACGGGAGGCAGCAGUGGGGAAUAUUGGACAAUGGGCGCAAGCCUUAUCCAGCCAUGCCGCGUGAGUGAUGAAGGCCCUAGGGUUGUAAAGCUCUUUCACCGGUGAAGAUAAUGACGGUAACCGGAGAAGAAGCCCCGGCUAACUUCGUGCCAGCAGCCGCCGUAACAC